GCCCCAUUAGCUCAGUUGGUUAGAGCGUCGUGCUAAUAACGCGAAGGUCACAGGUUCGAAACCUGUAUGAGGCA
rnacentral:tRNA from 1 species